rnacentral:lncRNA from 1 species
UAAUAUUUUACGUACUUUUUGUACAGUGGAUAGCGUUUUCGAUAUAUAAACAAUGAAUAAAAUAGGAAACCUACGUGAGUUGUAACACGAAAAUUAUUUUGUUGCGAAAUAUCCUCUCUGUGAUAGUUUCGUAGAAUUUUGCUUUCAUUUGUAAUUGGCGGAGAGACUUUCAAUGAGGAUGUAGUUUGCACACGAUACUCUUUACACUGGUCUUUAUAAGUAGAAACUUUGACCUUUGCGACGGGACACAUCUGGAAGUAAAAUGCCUUGCCCGUGUGGAAGUCAAUGCAAGUGUGGAGGGAACUGUAACUGCAGCGGCGGCAGUUGCAAGUGUUGUAGUGGAAAUAAAUGUCCAAAUGGAGGCAAUUGCGGAAAUAACCCAUGCACAUGCAAAAAGUGAUAAAAUAUUUUGAAUCAAAAACUAUAUAUAAAAUUAUAUAUAGUUAGUCGUUUCUGAACAUAUUUUUUAUAAUGUUUGAUAAAUUUUUAAUUUGUAGCUUUAGAAUUGAUGAACAUAAAUGACAGCAAAAAAGAAAUAAAUAUAUGUUAAAAAAUGUA